CCUACGGGAGGCAGCAGUCGGGAAUAUUGCGCAAUGGAGGAAACUCUGACGCAGUGACGCCGCGUGCAGGAAGAAGGUUUUCGGAUUGUAAACUGCUUUAGACAGGGAAGAAAAAAGACGGUACCUGUCGAAUAAGCCACGGCUAACUACGUGCCAGCAGCCGCGGUAAUACGUAGGUGGCAAGCGUUGUCCGGAUUUACUGGGUGUAAAGGGCGUGUAGCCGGGUUGACAAGUCAGAUGUGAAAUCCUGCGGCUUAACCGCAGAACUGCAUUUGAAACUGUUGAUCUUGAGUACGGGAGAGGCAGACGGAAUGCCUAGUGUAGCGGUGAAAUGCGUAGAUAUUAGGAGGAACACCAGUGGCGAAGGCGGUCUGCUGGACAGCAACUGACGGUGAGGCGCGAAAGCGUGGGGAGCAAACAGGAUUAGAUACCCGAGUAGUC
rnacentral:rRNA from 1 species